rnacentral:lncRNA from 1 species
AGAGCAGCGAGUGAGGCCCGUCCCUGCCAGGGCAAAACCAAGGCAGUAGCUUGUUCUUGUCAGUCUGCACCCACCUGAGGGCUCACUGCAUAUAGGGGAAGUCCUACCAGGAGCAUGACAGUGAAUGAGGCAAUGCAUCAAUAGGACGUAUGUUGAGAGAAACUUUCCACCCCGUCCCUCUUUACUGACUUCUCCGUCGUGCCUACAAUUCUGUUUGUAACCUUCUCCAACUUGGUCACAACUAUUAUUCCCAGAGCCAUGCCUCUUCCUAGCAACCGGAAGAUGAGUUGUUCCUAGAAUCUUGAAGAUCUCUAACCAUGAAGCUGUGCGGAGCAGUCUUUGAAGGAGGAGGCUGCCUCUCAAAGCUCCACGAGCAGCAGGAGUCUGACUCCAGUCUAGAUGACCUUGGAAGCCAGAGCAGACUUCUUAGAAAACAAGGCUUCUUUGCUUCCCCAUCUUUUACAUUUUCUCCCCCAAAGACUCUUGGAUUCAAUACCGUUUAAAGCAACUAUAAAUUUUUUAAAUACUUAAAGCACAUCUUCAUAUAUAAUUUACCUAAGAAAUCAAGAGUACAUUUCUGGACAUUUCAAAGCUAUAAUUUCAACUGUGAUCCUAGAAACAUAAUAAAGCCUCAAGAGUAAAAUGAAUGAUUGGGAGAAGCACGUGCGGUAAGCCUGACUGCAAGGCUGUUAAUGCUGAAAAGAAAGGU